rnacentral:rRNA from 1 species
GUACGCUGGCGGCACGCCUAACACAUGCAAGUCGAACGCAGUAGCAAUACUGAGUGGCAAACGGGUGAGUAUAAUGUGGGAAUCUGCCUUUUGGUUUGGAAUAACACGGGGAAACUUGUGCUAAUACCGAAUAAGCCCUUACGGGGAAAGUUUUAAUGCCGAAAGAUGAGCCCGCACUUGAUUAGCUAGUUGGUAAGGUAAAAGCUUACCAAGGCAACGAUCAAUAGCUGUUCUUAGAGGAAGACCAGCCACAUUGGGACUGAGACACGGCCCAGACUCCUACGGGAGGCAGCAGUGGGGAAUCUUGCACAAUGGGGGAAACCCUGAUGCAGCGAUGCCGCGUGAGUGAAGAAGGCCUUUGGGUUGUAAAACUCUUUCGUCGGGGAAGAAAAUGACUGUACCCGAAUAAGAAGGUCCGGCUAACU